rnacentral:rRNA from 1 species
UGGGGAAUAUUGGACAAUGGGCGCGAGCCUGAUCCAGCCAUGCCGCGUGUGUGAAGAAGGCCUUAUGGUUGUAAAGCACUUUAAGCGAGGAGGAGGCUACUUUAGUUAAUACCUAGAGAUAGUGGACGUUACUCGCAGAAUAAGCACCGGCUAACUCUAUGCCAGCAGCCGCGGUAAUACAGAGGGUGCAAGUGUUAAUCGGAUUUACUGGGCGUAAAGCGCGCGUAGGCGGCUAAUUAAGUCAAAUGUGAAAUCCCCGAGCUUAACUUGGGAAUUGCAUUCGAUACUGGUUAGCUAGAGUGUGGGAGAGGAUGGUAGAAUUCCAGGUGUAGCGGUGAAAUGCGUAGAGAUCUGGAGGAAUACCGAUGGCGAAGGCAGCCAUCUGGCCUAACACUGACGCUGAGGUGCGAAAGCAUGGGGAGCAAACAGGAUUAGAUACCCUGGUAGUCCAUGCCGUAAACGAUGUCUACUAGCCGUUGGGGCCUUUGAGGCUUUAGUGGCGCAGCUAACGCGAUAAGUAGACCGCCUGGGGAGUACGGUCGCAAGACU